rnacentral:rRNA from 1 species
CCUACGGGUGGCUGCAGUGGGGAAUAUUGGACAAUGGGUGAAAGCCUGAUCCAGCCAUGCCGCGUGUGUGAAGAAGGCCUUCGGGUUGUAAAGCACUUUCAGUGGGGAAGAAAGCCUUGGGGCUAAUACCCUCGAGGAAGGACAUCACCCACAGAAGAAGCACCGGCUAACUCCGUGCCAGCAGCCGCGGUAAUACGGAGGGUGCGAGCGUUAAUCGGAAUUACUGGGCGUAAAGCGCGCGUAGGCGGUCUGAUAAGCCGGUUGUGAAAGCCCCGGGCUCAACCUGGGAACGGCAUCCGGAACUGUCAGGCUAGAGUGCAGGAGAGGAAGGUAGAAUUCCCGGUGUAGCGGUGAAAUGCGUAGAGAUCGGGAGGAAUACCAGUGGCGAAGGCGGCCUUCUGGACUGACACUGACGCUGAGGUGCGAAAGCGUGGGUAGCAAACAGGAUUAGAUACCCGGGUAGUC